UCCAUCUCUGGUUCACAAACGUCCAAGGCAAGGCAGCAACGUGGGAAUAUACUCCACUCCAACUUCCUUUACCCUAUCCAGACACUGGAACUGGGAUGCUGGGCUGUUGGUCAGUUCUAGUAAAAGAGAUGCAGAUCAUGGGAUUUGGUUCAAGAUAUAUUUCUCCAAGCCUGAGGAUUGUCACCUAUUAUAUGUGUACUGAGACACCAUGGUGUGUCCAACCUUCUAAAUGUGCUUCCAGAUCUUCAUGGCAGAAGCAGCACUGAAGAGGGAUUUAUGCUCCCAUCAUUGCAGUUUUUAAAGGAUGCAUUAGAAGUGAUUAUAUGAACAGUGAAGGAAAUGGAAUGAUGUGGGAAAAUGUUAAAAUAUUUCUAUAAGUCACAGAAAGAGGUCAAAUUCUACAUAUUCAGUACCCUCUACAUUUUUUUGCA